CGAUUCUUCCUCUCUAUCGACUUUUCAUUGCUUGACUCCUCUCUCUCUCUCUCUCUCUCUCGCUCGCUCGACUCGAUCUCUCCUUGUGUUACGAAGUGCUCUUUGCAAAGAAUCCUCACUACUUUCCCAAGGAAAAAUUUUAUUUUUCAUUCUCUAUGCACGAAGAGAAAUGGAGGCAUAACAGCGGAUGUAUAGCUGUGGUGAAGGGGUGAUGGUCAUCCGGACUUUUCGAACAUUGAAGAAUUCUGGACGAUGAUUUUACAGAUGUCCGUUAUGUGAAAAACAUCCAGGCUCUUUCAUUUGGUUGGACCCAACGUUGAGGGACUACACAAGCACUAUAGACACAGGAGCAAGUCAUUCAAAUGAAAGUGUUAAUAGGAACACACGGGUCAUCUCGGCUAUUCGUCAACCACCCUAUAGUCCAAAUGUGCGGAACCAAGUAAUAGUGGAUUAGUUAUUGCUCAACCAUUAUUAUGGUUUAACCAUCUUCCUAUUUAUUUGGGUGUUAAUUCUUUCGUGUUAUGUCUUCUAUAUAACAUCUUUGUAAAUAGAACUACUAUU